GAUGAACGCUAGCUACAGGCUUAACACAUGCAAGUCGCGGGGCAGCAUGGGGGUUGCUUGCAAUCCCCGAUGGCGACCGGCGCACGGGUGAGUAACGCGUAUCCAACCUGCCCUUCACCACGGGAUAACCCGGCGAAAGUCGGACUAAUACCGUAUGUUGUCCAUUGACGGCAUCCGAUUUGGACGAAAGGCUUGGCGGUGAGGGAUGGGGAUGCGUCCGAUUAGCCAGACGGCGGGGUAACGGCCCACCGUGGCUACGAUCGGUAGGGGUUCUGAGAGGAAGGUCCCCCACACUGGAACUGAGACACGGUCCAGACUCCUACGGGAGGCAGCAGUGAGGAAUAUUGGUCAAUGGGCGUAAGCCUGAACCAGCCAAGUAACGUGCAGGAUGACGGCCCUAUGGGUUGUAAACUGCUUUUAUGCGGGGAUAAAGUGGCCCACGUGUGGGCUUUUGCAGGUACCGCAUGAAUAAGGACCGGCUAAUUCCGU
rnacentral:rRNA from 1 species